UAGCUCUCUAAGAAAUUCCUAGGUGUGUC
rnacentral:piRNA from 1 species